AGCUGGCGGCGUGCCUAUACAUGCAAGUCGAGCGGACAGAAGGGAGCUUGCUCCCGGAUGUUAGCGGCGGACGGGUGAGUAACACGUGGGUAACCUGCCUGUAAGACUGGGAUAACUCCGGGAAACCGGAGCUAAUACCGGAUAGUUCCUUGAACCGCAUGGUUCAAGGAUGAAAGACGGUUUCGGCUGUCACUUACAGAUGGACCCGCGGCGCAUUAGCUAGUUGGUGGGGUAAUGGCUCACCAAGGCGACGAUGCGUAGCCGACCUGAGAGGGUGAUCGGCCACACUGGGACUGACACACGCCCCAAACUCCUACGGGAGGCAGCAGUAGGAAAUCUUCCGCAAUGAACAAAAGUCUGACGAACCAACGCCGGGUGAGUGAUGAAGGUUUUCGAAUCCAAAACUUCUGUUGUAAGGAAAGAACAGAGCCAAAAGAACCGGUUCCCCCUUGACCGGAACUAAACCAAAAAUCCCGGGUUAUUUCCGAGACAGCAGCCGCGGUAAGUACGUAGGUUGGCAAGCGUUGUCCGGAAUUAUUGGGCGUAAAGG
rnacentral:rRNA from 1 species